GGGUAUAGACCCGAAACCCGGUGAUCUAGCCAUGGGCAGGUUGAAGGUUGGGUAACACUAACUGGAGGACCGAACCGACUAAUGUUGAAAAAUUAGCGGAUGACCUGUGGCUGGGGGUGAAAGGCCAAUCAAACCGGGAGAUAGCUGGUUCUCCCCGAAAGCUAUUUAGGUAGCGCCUCGUGAAUUCAUCUCCGGGGGUAGAGCACUGUUUCGGCUAGGGGGCCAUCCCGGCUUACCAACCCGAUGCAAACUGCGAAUACCGGAGAAUGUUAUCACGGGAGACACACGGCGGGUGCUAACGUCCGUCGUGAAGAGGGAAACAACCCAGACCGCCAGCUAAGGUCCCAAAGUCAUGGUUAAGUGGGAAACGAUGUGGGAAGGCCCAGACAGCCAGGAUGUUGGCUUAGAAGCAGCCAUCAUUUAAAGAAAGCGUAAUAGCUCACUGGUCGAGUCGGCCUGCGCGGAAGAUGUAACGGGGCUAAACCAUGCACCGAAGCUGCGGCAGCGAACGUAUCACCCAAGACAACUUUACGGAGUUGACGAUUGACGGAGCGAAGCGACGUCAAAGCGUUCAUUAAAGUCGAGUUGGCUUAGGGAUACGUUCGUUGGGUAGGGGAGCGUUCUGUAAGCCUGUGAAGGUGUGUCGUGAGGCAUGCUGGAGGUAUCAGAAGUGCGAAUGCUGACAUAAGUAACGAUAAAGCGGGUGAAAAGCCCGCUCGCCGGAAGACCAAGGGUUCCUGUCCAACGUUAAUCGGGGCAGGGUGAGUCGACCCCUAAGGCGAGGCCGAAAGGCGUAGUCGAUGGGAAACGGGUUAAUAUUCCCGUACUUGGUGUUACUGCGAAGGGGGGACGGAGAAGGCUAUGUUGGCCGGGCGACGGUUGUCCCGGUUUAAGCGUGUAGGUGUGUGUUCCAGGUAAAUCCGGUUCACUUUAACACUGAGGCGUGACGACGAGGCACUACGGUGCUGAAGCAACAAAUGCCCUGCUUCCAGGAAAAGCCUCUAAGCAUCAGGUAACAC
rnacentral:rRNA from 1 species